UACGAACUGUGCGAACGUUAUUCGGAAUCACUGGGCUUAAAGGGUGCGUAGGCGGUCGUUUAAGUAGGGUGUGAAAUGCCUCAGCCCAACUGAGGAAUGGCGCUCUAAACUGAAUGGCUUGAGUGAGCUAGGGGUUUGCGGAACUUCCGGUGGAGCGGUGAAAUGUGUUGAUAUCAGGAGGAACACCCAUGGCGAAGGCAGCAAACUGGGCAUUAUCUGACGCUGAGGCGCGAAAGCGUGGGUAGCAAACAGG
rnacentral:rRNA from 1 species